ACGGAAGGCAGCAGUGGGGAAUUUUGCGCAAUGGGGGGAACCCUGACGCAGCAACGCCGCGUGCGGGAUGAAGGCCUUCGGGUUGUAAACCGCUUUCAGCAGGGACGAUUAUGACGGUACCUGCAGAAGAGGCUCCGGCUAACUACGUGCCAGCAGCCGCGGUAAUACGUAGGGAGCGAGCGUUAUCCGGAUUCAUUGGGCGUAAAGCGCGCGUAGGCGGCUUGCUAAGCGGAACCUCUAAUCCGAGGGCUCAACCCCCGGCCGGGUUCCGAACUGGCAGGCUCGAGUGCGGUAGGGGCAAGUGGAAUUCCAUGUGUAGCGGUGGAAUGCGCAGAUAUAUGGAAGAACACCGAUGGCGAAGGCAGCUUGCUGGGCCGACACUGACGCUGAGGUGCGAAAGCGUGGGGAGCGAACAGGAUUAGAUACCCUGGUA
rnacentral:rRNA from 1 species